AUUGAACGCUGGCGGCAUGCCUAACACAUGCAAGUCGAACGGUAACAGGAAGAACCUUGCUCCUUUGCUGACGAGUGGCGGACGGGAGUGAAAUGUCUGUGAAACUGCCUUAUGGCGGGGGAUAAUUACUGAAAACGGUACCUAAUACCGCAUAUCUUCUCAAGCCCAAAGAGCAGAACCUUCAGGCCGCUUUCCAUCCACUUUUCCCAGAUUGGAUUAGCUAGUAGGUAGGGUAACGGCUCACCAAGGCGACGAUCCCUAGCUGAUCUGAGAGGGUGACCGGCCACACUGGAACUGAGACACGGUCCAGACUCCUACGGGAGGCAGCAGUAGGGAAUAUUGCGCAAUGGGCGAAAGCCUGACGGAGCAAGGCCGCGUGAGUGAUGAAGGUCUUCGGAUUGUAAAGCUCUGUCAGUGGGGAGGAAGAUAGUUGUGAGUAUACGUGUACUCAUUGACGUUACCUAAAGAGAAAGCCCCGGCUAACUACGUG
rnacentral:rRNA from 1 species